CACGUAGGGGACGAGCGUUGUCCGGAUUCAUUGGGCGUAAAGCGCGCGUAGGCGGCUCGGAAAGUCGGUCGUGAAAUGCCGGGGCUCAACCCCGGGACUGCGUCCGAUACUUCCGGGCUGGAGGUAGGUAGGGGAGAUCGGAAUUCCUGGUGUAGCGGUGAAAUGCGCAGAUAUCAGGAGGAACACCGGUGGCGAAGGCGGAUCUCUGGGCCUUACCUGACGCUGAGGCGCGAAAGCUAGGGGAGCGAACGGG
rnacentral:rRNA from 1 species